AUGGAGGAAGACACAACAGAGAUACGUACUAUAGAUUUCAUGGGAUUGGGUACUGCAUCUAUCAACGCUGCUAUCCCAAUGCCUGCACUUGUGCCUAUUGUUGAUGUUGAGAAUAUCAACUGUGAUGCAGAGUUGGUACUAGCACCAAACAGGCCAACUGAACCUGAUAUUCCUGAAUUUGUUCUUCACCCUAGUGUUGGUAGAAUCCCUAAAACAGGUCACAGUGUUCUAAAAAGUUCAUUUGCACCUAAGGAUAUUGCUAUAGCACUAGCAAAGUGGGGUGAGAGUCCAAAAAAACAUAUCAUAGAGAUGGGCCUGGGUGGGUUGCUACAUGUAGAUCAUUUUACUCACUUUAGCAGGAACCAUUCUCUUUUCUAUCUGCAAUCUAUAGACACUAGGAGGAAAAGGCUUGUUCUAGGGAAAAAAUUGCUCAGAUCAGUGAGAGAUCGAUGUCUGCCAUAUUAG
rnacentral:rRNA from 1 species